UACAGAGGGGGCAAGCGUUAUUCGGAAUUAUUGGGCGUAAAGGGCGCGUAGGCGGCAUGGCAAGUGGAAGGUGAAAUCCCUCGGCUUAACCGGGGAACUGCGUCUGAUACUGGAUGGCUUGAGAUUGGGAGAGGGAUGCGGGAUUCCAGGUGUAGCGGUGAAAUGCGUAGAUAUCUGGAGGAACACCGGUGGCGAAGGCGGCAUCCUGGACCAACACUGACGCUGAGGAGCGAAAGCCAGGGGAGCAAACGGG
rnacentral:rRNA from 1 species